UACGGAGGGUGCAAGCGUUGUCCGGAAUCACUGGGCGUAAAGGGCGCGUAGGCGGCCCGGUAAGUAGGGGGUGAAAUCCUGCGGCUUAACCGCAGGGCUGCCUUCUAAACUGUCGGGCUCGAGCACGGUAGAGGCAGAUGGAAUUCCCGGUGUAGCGGUGGAAUGCGUAGAGAUCGGGAAGAACAUCAGUGGCGAAGGCGGCCUGCUGGGCAGUAGCUGACGCUGAUGCGCGACAGCGUGGGGAGCAAACAGG
rnacentral:rRNA from 1 species